AAAGCGUGGAGCUUAACUCCAUCAUGGCAGUGGAAACUGAAAGGCUUGAGUAUGGUAGGGGCAGAGGGAAUUCCCGGUGUAGCGGUGAAAUGCGUAGAUAUCGGGAAGAACACCAGUGGCGAAGGCGCUCUGCUGGGCCAUUACUGACGCUCAUGGACGAAAGCCAGGGGAGCG
rnacentral:rRNA from 1 species